rnacentral:lncRNA from 7 species
UCCUACAUCUCGAACCCCUGAGCAUUUCAUCCUAGAGAUGAGCCUGCCCAUCAGUCUGAGCGUGUGACACAGGGAUAUUUCCAACACACUGUCAGCCCUUCAGUCCUAUAAGCCCAAACACAACCCUAAAAGCCUCUUUCACUCACAAGCUGCUAUCACUUUAUUAGAGCACCAAAAAAGCACUUGUUAUGCCAUUCUCUUUCCUGAUUAAAUGCGAAGAACUGAUCCAGCUUGUCAUAACAUUUGUUAUGAACAAACAGCUUCUUACAGAAGGCUCAGAAAAUGCAGCGCUGUUACAAGCACUGAGUGAUUUAUCAUUUAUUAGCCUUCAUAUCCUGCUCCAAAGUCUCACAGAUUAUUGCAGCGGGCUCCAAGCUGACAGCCUCACUGCACCAGAAUGUGGAGAGCUUGAGGGGGCACCCAGCGAGGUGGGGCUGCUCCUUCCCAUCUACCAGCAAAGCGCUCUGCAGAGAAGGACUGGCUGGGAUGGAAGCCUCUGGUUUGCAACAGCUCCUGCAGUGCAAAGCAGUGCCGGCUCUUGGAAGAUGGGGUGGCUUUUAAUGACCCCAGCAUCACUGCAUCGCCCCUCCUGUGAGCAGACAAAGCAGAAAGCUUGAAGCAGAAAACAUCAAUACUGGUGACUGGUAAACAGGAGGGAGGGCUGCAGCUGCAGAGCUCUCUCCGAAGCGGUGCGUAAGCAAAGCCCAGGCUGUGAUGCGGGCACUGAACCAACUCGCUAUUUCAGAGUGGUGAUUUUUGGCACUGCUGUCAGCAGGGUCUGUGCCUCGCUGGGAAUAGCCAGCGCUCUGUCUGCACAUCAAAAAAACCUGAAAGCCACCAGCCUACAAGGAAGCUGCAUGAAAUGAGCAGGACAGUGCCGGAUGCACCGCGGUAGUUAUGCCAGGAGCGCCGUGUUGAGGGCAGCGAUGCGCUGAGGCACACACCCGAGCUUUCUGGCCAUGCCUGGGGAACUCCAGCACGGUGUCCCAGAGGGCAAAAGGCUUACAGCCCAUGGAUGCGUAAUGGGCCCACAGGUGUUUGGAAAUUAAUUAUCACCUGGUAAAAGAAUUGUUACAGUAACU